rnacentral:rRNA from 1 species
UAGGGAAUCUUCCACAAUGGACGAAAGUCUGAUGGAGCAACGCCGCGUGAGUGAUGAAGGGUUUCGGCUCGUAAAACUCUGUUGUUGGAGAAGAACAGGUGUGAGAGUAACUGUUCACAUCUUGACGGUAUCCAACCAGAAAAGCCACGGCUAACUACGUGCCAGCAGCCGCGGUAAUACGUAGGUGGCAAGCGUUGUCCGGAUUUAUUGGGCGUAAAGCGAGCGCAGGCGGUUUCUUAGGUCUGAUGUGAAAGCCUUCGGCUUAACCGGAGAAGUGCAUCGGAAACCAGGAGACUUGAGUGCAGAAGAGGACAGUGGAACUCCAUGUGUAGCGGUGAAAUGCGUAGAUAUAUGGAAGAACACCAGUGGCGAAGGCGGCUGUCUGGUCUGUAACUGACGCUGAGGCUCGAAAGCAUGGGUAGCGAACAGGAUUAGAUACCCUGGUAGUCCAUGCCGUAAACGAUGAGUGCUAAGUGUU